AUUGAACGCUGGCGGCAGGCUUAACACAUGCAAGUCGAGCGGAGAUGAGGUGCUUGCACCUUAUCUUAGCGGCGGACGGGUGAGUAAUGCUUAGGAAUCUGCCUAUUAGUGGGGGACAACAUUCCGAAAGGAAUGCUAAUACCGCAAACGUCCUACGGGAGAAAGCAGGGGAUCUUCGGACCUUGCGCUAAUAGAUGAGCCUAAGUCGGAUUAGCUAGUUGGUGGGGUAAAGGCCUACCAAGGCGACGAUCUGUAGCGGGUCUGAGAGGAUGAUCCGCCACACUGGGACUGAGACACGGCCCAGACUCCUACGGGAGGCAGCAGUGGGGAAUAUUGGACAAUAGGGGAACCCUGAUCCAGCCAUGCCGCGUGUGUGAAGAAGGCCUUAUGGUUGUAAAGCACUUUAAGCGAGGAGGAGGCUACUGAGACUAAUACUCUUGGAUAGUGGACGUUACUCGCAGAAUAAGCACCGGCUAACUCUGUGCCAGCCGCCGCCGUAAUAC
rnacentral:rRNA from 1 species